GAUGAACGCUGGCGGCGUGCUUAACACAUGCAAGUCGAACGGAAAGGCCCUGCUUUUGUGGGGUGCUCGAGUGGCGAACGCGUGCGUAACACGUGAGUAUCCUGCCCUUGACUUUGGGAUAACUUCAGGAAACUGGGGCUAAUAUCGGAUAGGAGAUCAUGCUCCAUGGUGGGCGUUGGAAAGUUUCGGCGGUUGGGGAUGGACUCGCGGCUUAUCAGCUUGUUGGUGGGGUAGUGGAUUACCAAGGCUUUGACGGGUAGCCGGCCUGUGAGGGUGACCGGCCACAUUGGGACUGAGAGACGGCCCAGACUCCUACGGUAGGCAGCAGUGGGGAAUAUUGCACAGUGGGCGGAAGCCUGAUGCAGCGACGCCGCGUUCGGAAUGACGGCCUUCGGGUUGUAAACCGCUUUCGCCUGUGACGAAGCGUGAGUGACGGUAAUGGGUAAAGAAGCACCGGCUAACUACGUG
rnacentral:rRNA from 1 species